AUGGAUCGUUCAUGUGGUCCGUUCUCUAAGCAUGAUGCUAAUGGCAAGCUUCGCUUCGACAACGACAAAAAAGAUUUAUCAGAUCUAGUUCGCAACAAAGUUGAGUUUCGUCCGAAGUUUCAAAGGGAGCAGGAAGAGUAUGAAUAUGAGAGUUGGGGCUCACCGCCGACUUCGUACAAGGAGGAGGAGCGCCGCCUUGCAACGACGACUCCUUCUCGACUUCAUCAGACUAGAUCUGAUGAUGCUCUAGAUCCGUGGCUUAAAGCGCGUGACGACGGGUUCUCUAUCUUGAACGACAACCCUAGAUCUGAAUCUAGAUUGAACUACAUCAACUCCUCAAAAAACAAUGCCCAUGGUGACCAGUGCAAGGAUGGCAGCUCCGGUCGUGGGAUUGUUCCCCGUCCUCCGCCGGCAAAAGGCUGGUCUACGAGCGGCGUCCCCUCGGAGCGGAGCGGCGCCGGCUCCGAGGUGGGUGCUGAGGAGAGCGACGGCGGCGCCUGGGAUGGCGUCGCCCCGGGGACGAGCGGUGCCGGCGACGAGGUUGGCGCUGUUCCGGAGGCGAACAUCCUCAGCGUCCCCGUCGAUGCGUGGACAUGCCACCAGGACCACUCCUGUUAUGGAAGACAAAGGAGUAAAAUACUGGAAGCUGGCUGA
rnacentral:rRNA from 1 species